AGUGCCUCCUCAGUGCCUCACACGGUGCUCUUGGCACACACACCUUCCCAAUCGAACGGCGUCCCAGGGAGGUGGUGAGUCCCUGUCCUUGGAGGUGUUUAGGGGGAGAGCGGACGUGGCACUCAGUGCCAUGGUCUGGUUGAACAUGAACGCAAAGGUGGUGGUGGGGCAUAGGUUGAACUGGCUGAUCUCACGCCUUUUUCGACCUCGUUGAUGCUGUGGUUCUGUGAUCUCCCUCGUCUCUGCCUCAUCAAAUCUCUCCCUCCUGUUUGUGCCCCUCGCUCACUGUGUUGUGGAGGACAGUGAUGGUGUGGCAGACGCCCAAAACCCUGGGCUGUCCCUGUGAGGAGGGAUUAUCCUCCACAGGAGAGAUGCCAUGUCUGAAGGAAGUGAGCACCUGCAGCACCCCAACAAUUACACCACAUAAAUUACACUACAUAAAUCAGACCCACCAAUGAUGUGAUUUCUUAAAAGUUCAUUCCAAUGGGAGGGAGGAGGAAAUUCUCAAUAACUCCAGAGAUUUCACAGGUUCACACAAAACAGUUCCUGUAUCUUCUAUCAUCAGCGUUACACUUGCCAUCAUAAUUUGUCAAAUGCUUCUCUACGUCAUGUAGAUGGAAAAGAAACUUCACAAAAAUUACCCCUGUCAAUCCCCAGGGAUGGAUUUUCCAGGUGGGUAUCACUCCACACUGGUGCUGUUCCAUGUGGGAACACUCUUGAGUCAUGACACCAAGGUGUCUGUGUGGUUAUACACCCCCUGUUCCUGGUAGGACAAAACUUUCUGCACCAUUUCAGAGAUGUUCCUUGUCCAGAAUAAACUGCUCACACAGUGAAAUACUGACUGAAGAGAAACUUCACUUACUGGCAGAGCCGCAGACUUGCUCUGUCAGUUCUGGUCCCUCUGCUCUGCCUUUGUCAUGUUACUUCACAUUCCAGCUCUCUCCUUCUGAGCACAGAUUGGAGUUUUUCUGCCAUUUUCUGGAAAUUGCAGAAGAGUAAUACCCACUGGGUAGAGGAAGCUGAAGCCACACCUUUAUCUGAGUCUCAAGUUGAGAAAAUGGAACAGCCAUGAGGCAGGAGGAUGUCCCAGGCUUCCACCUGAGCUUCCACAAAAUGUACCGGGAGGUGAGAAGCACCCUGGCUGGGGAAGACCAUGCACUUCUGCCCAAAUCCCACUUCAUGUGUGAUGCCUCAGGCUCCUGUAGUCUUCUUUCUCCUUUCAUUCCAGCUCUGAAAAGCAAUGGGCAACUUGGUUUGGUCAUUCUCAUAUUGAUCAUUACCACUAAGAAGUUGUCACUCUACUAGUGAGAACAAGGAAACAAAGCAUCUUAAUGCCCACCCUUCUAUCUAUCUCAUCCAUGGCUUUUUAAAGCAAAACUCCCAACCCAAGGGGUACUUCACAGAGCAAAAGAUGAGUUGUGAUUCCCAAUGGACUUAAGUUCUAUUUUUAGAGAUGAUGCAACAUCACAGAGAUGUGUGAGGAAGGGCUCAAGGGGUUUGAUGGUCCUGUUGUAUUUUGUUCUUUUCACUUCUUCCCCCUCCCUCCUUGAAGAUCCCUGUGCUGCAGGCCCAGGAGGAGGAUUUUUGGGGAGGUGGGAUGAAGCUGGCCAAGGCCUGAGCGUGGCAUGAAAGAACUGAAGGCAGAAAUUACACCAAGUGAGACACACGUUAAGGCAGCAUCACAAAUAGAACAAAUGUGCUAAAAAAGACAGGAAAAUACUCUAGGAUUUAUCAGAACAUAUGGGAGUUAGAUGUGCUCAGAAAGGCUGAAAACAGCUUCAGCUGCACCAGCACUGGUCUCACCACCAAUCAAACAGAUCCCAAAUCACAGAGCAGGUUUAUACAAACCUCAUCUCUGUGUGGCUUUUCUUUUUACAUAGCAACAGAGGAAACUCUGAGAAACUGGAGCUGACAAUGAUCAGUACUAAAACCUGCAAAGGAACAGGCCAGACAGCAGCACUGGGAGAAAGCAGCGGGGGGAGAAGCCACACUGGGAACUACAAAAGCUCCACUCCUGCAGGGUCCGGGCUGCAGCAGAGGGGAGCAAAGCAAAGGUUUUUGUCCCUCUGAGCUCCUCCUCUUCAAUGCACCAAGCUGAAGGGAAGUGAAUGGAGAAGCAUCACAGUGAAAAUUCCUGAGAAAUUCCAUCUUUGGGAGAAAAAAAUUCCACGUGUUUUUUUCUUAAAGUAUUUCCAUACUUUGUUUCACUCUUGUACUGCAGUUUUAUAAGGAAUAAAUCUAGAUUUUGCAGA